rnacentral:rRNA from 1 species
GACGAACCGUACGAGCGUUAUUCGGAAUUACUGGGCUUAAAGGGUGCGUAGGCGGGCCUUUAAGUCAGGGGUGAAAUCCUGGAGCUCAACUCCAGAACUGCCUUUGAUACUGAAGAUCUUGAGUUCGGGAGAGGUGAGUGGAACUGCGAGUGUAGAGGUGAAAUUCGUAGAUAUUCGCAAGAACACCAGUGGCGAAGGCGGCUCACUGGCCCGAUACUGACGCUGAGGCACGAAAGCGUGGGGAGCAAACAGG